AGUGAACGCUGGCGGUAGGCCUAACACAUGCAAGUCGAACGGCAGCACAGUAAGAGCUUGCUCUUACGGGUGGCGAGUGGCGGACGGGUGAGGAAUACAUCGGAAUCUACUUUUUCGUGGGGGAUAACGUAGGGAAACUUACGCUAAUACCGCAUACGACCUACGGGUGAAAGCAGGGGAUCUUCGGACCUUGCGCGAUUGAAUGAGCCGAUGUCGGAUUAGCUAGUUGGCGGGGUAAAGGCCCACCAAGGCGACGAUCCGUAGCUGGUCUGAGAGGAUGAUCAGCCACACUGGAACUGAGACACGGUCCAGACUCCUACGGGAGGCAGCAGUGGGGAAUAUUGGACAAUAGGCGCAAGCCUGAUCCAGCCAUACCGCGUGGGUGAAGAAGGCCUUCGGGUUGUGAAGCCCUUUUGUUGGGAAAGAAAAGCAGCAGGUUAAUACCCCGCUGUUCUGACGGUACCCAAAGAAUAAGCACCGGCUAACUUCGUG
rnacentral:rRNA from 1 species